GGGGAUGUGGUUUAGUGUAAGCAUCUUCACAUCUUCAUGUCUCGAUCCACAAGUUCAUAGGUACUAACGUCUUCAAAAGGGUAUAAUACCUCUUUAGCAUAGAGGUGGUCCAGGGUUCGAUUCCCUGCAUCUCCA
rnacentral:tRNA from 1 species